CGCGCGCAGAUCCCAGCAGUGAAACAGCAGCGUUGCGCUCAUUCCUGGAGAGUGCGAGGCACCCUUGACGUCAGCAGCAGGGAGGAUCGUGUCCUCAGUGAGGUGGGACAGUGUAUUACAGGAGGGUCUCUCAAGCAUUUUUGUCUGCUUUGAUCUCGCAUGACGGCAUCCAGCUGGCCAAUGAAGGAGUCCGUCCAAAUCACAAACGUAAAAGACUUGGACAGGCAGAUGGACAAAGGACAGGACUGGAAUAAGGCUGGGUCACAUGUUCCUGUAUUUUGCAUUGUCUGAUGCACACACUCAAUGCUUUCACUAAGCAUAGCACGUGUUUCAUUUUGCUGUGAGAAUAGAAGUGAUAUGAUUUGAUUUGAAAGGUUUAGAAAUGACCAUUCUAGCACCUGCCAUGACCCCACAAUAACUCAACCACAAUGCAACACCAACAAACCUUUGUACUUCUCUCUCCACAAAGCCAGUCCACCUAAUUCAAAUGCUGUGUUCUGUAGCUGUUUUGCUCUAAUUAUUAAUGACCGUUAUGCAUGGAGGGUCCGUGUAACUCUAUAUUGAGAAGAUUCAGAUCUAAACAUGUUUGUUUACUGAGCAGUGAAAGUGCUUUAGGCAUUAAAAACACUGAGAAAAUAAAUAAUUAGACUUAAUUAAGGAGGACAGUAUGUCUAUAGCAUUCCACACCAGCUGUUUCCCUUAAGGCUGUAUGCACCGCACCUGCUAAUAAUGGAGAUCAGGAAAUAUGUGACAUUAAUGCACACAAUGUCCAUUAGUCAACAAAAAAUCAAAAUAGACCUGGUUCACUUUCUUAAUGCUUGUUCCUGCUCUUAUUGUAAGAAAUUCAUUGGUGCAUGUCUAUCCAAAGAAAGAAAAACGAAAAGGUUGCUUUCAAAAAUCUCAUCUUCUUCCGUAACAACUUUGUCAAAGAGGUCAUAAUGUUGGCUUUUGGAUUAGAACCAAAAGCAAAAAAAUUAUUAGCAAACUUAUUUCAGGUCUGGUUCUGCUCUGUUAUAUAAUGGACUCAUUUACCAUACAAGAUCAGUUGAUGUUCCGACCUACAUUUUUUUGUUUAAUAUCCUGUUUCACUCAUAAGGUAUAUCACAGUAUGGAAAUAAAAUGGGUUGUAAACCUCAAUUGACAGUGACUUUAAAGUCUAAAGUGGAGAAUAAUGGUAGAAUAGUCAGAUCAGUCCCCUCAUGUAUCAGCAGUCUAAUCAUUUCAGCUGAUAAUUUAAAAUCCAGAUGGAUCCAGAUAUACCUCUUGCGGUAAUACAUAUCAAGUUCACCACUAUGGAGAAAUGGUAAAUGAAUUUGCUGCCUAUUUUCUUUCUCAACAGAGGUAUUCUUUCUUCAUCGGCUGUGAAGGGUGUGUUGUGCAAGGGAACAUUAAACUGUUGCCAAGGCACACUUGUCAUAGCACGCAUGUCACCAUGACACCUCUCUGGGUUAAACAAUAAAUACCUUAAACUAAAUGGGAAGGAGCUAAUCUUUUUAAAGGGGACAUUUCAUGAAAAUCUGACUUUUUUGUGUUUAAGUGCUAUAAUUGGGUCCCCAAUGCAUCGACCUAGAAAAUGUGAAAAUGGACAACGCAAUAACUUCGUUUUGUUAAACCAUUCUCUGUAAACAUGUGAAAAUAUAGGUCAUUGAAAUUUGGAAAUUUGAACACGCUAUAAUAAAUUAUCUGUAUGGUAUUUUGAGCUAAAACUUUAUGUACUCAGAAGACACCAAAUAUUUAUU